ACAGCCAUACCAUCCUGAAUAUACCGGUUCUCGUUCGAUCACCAAAGUCGAGCGUUAUCGGGCGCGGUCAGCACUUGGGAGGGUUGACCGCUUGGGAACACCGCAUGCUGUU